GAUGAACGCUGGCGGCGUGCCUAAUACAUGCAAGUCGAGCGAACUGAUUAGAAGCUUGCUUCUAUGACGUUAGCGGCGGACGGGUGAGUAACACGUGGGCAACCUGCCUGUAAGACUGGGAUAACUUCGGGAAACCGAAGCUAAUACCGGAUAGGAUCUUCUCCUUCAUGGGAGAUGAUUGAAAGAUGGUUUCGGCUAUCACUUGCAGAUGGGCCCGCGGUGCAUUAGCUAGUUGGUGAGGUAACGGCUCACCAAGGCAACGAUGCAUAGCCGACCUGAGAGGGUGAUCGGCCACACUGGGACUGAGACACGGCCCAGACUCCUACGGGAGGCAGCAGUAGGGAAUCUUCCGCAAUGGACGAAAGUCUGACGGAGCAACGCCGCGUGAGUGAUGAAGGCUUUCGGGUCGUAAAACUCUGUUGUUAGGGAAGAACAAGUACGAGAGUAGCUGCUCGUACCUUGACGGUACCUAACCAGAAAGCCACGGCUAACUACGUGCCAGCCGCCGCGGUAAGAC
rnacentral:rRNA from 1 species